CGCAUCAUUGGUAAUACACGGCUUUCCUAAGAUGUAACAUGUAGAAUGAUUCGGGUUCUAGUUCUUUAUCUGUUCUAUAGAUUCAUGUCCAUAUCAUAUGUAUAGAACUAAAUAUGGUUGUUACCUUGAAAUGAUGACAAUCUCCAAAACCUGAGAACACAAAAGACUGGGUUAACUUUGAAUGUGGUAUUGUAACCCUUUGAUGUCCAUUCGGUUAAGAACUUGUCAGCACUGUAUCCUCUUAAAUGACAUAAGAGAUGUUCAUCCCUAUAACAGAAAACACUCUAUAACUAUUCCAAAAUAAAAGCAAACACAUCAAUGAGGAUUGAACAUAAUUUUAGCAAUGUUUAGCAAUUUACCUUCC
rnacentral:lncRNA from 1 species